rnacentral:tRNA from 1 species
AAGGAAUUAGUUAAAAUAUAACGUAAAUUUGUCAAAUUUAAAUAACUUUCUAAAAGUAUUCCUUU